rnacentral:rRNA from 1 species
CCUACGGGAGGCAGCAGUGGGGAAUAUUGCACAAUGGGGGAAACCCUGAUGCAGCGACGCCGCGUGAGUGAAGAAGUAAUUCGUUAUGUAAAGCUCUAUCAGCCGGGAAGAAAAUGACGGUACCUGAGUAAGAAGCCCCGGCUAACUACGUGCCAGCAGCCGCGGUAAUACGUAGGGGGCAAGCGGUAUCCGGAUUGACGGGGUGGAAAGGGAGCGUAGACGGCAGUGCAAGUCUGGAGUGAAAGGCGGGGGCUCAACCCCCGGACUGCUCUGGAAACUGUACGGCUGGAGUGCAGGAGAGGUAAGUGGAAUUCCUGGUGUAGCGGUGAAAUGCGUAGAUAUUAGGAGGAACACCAGUGGCGAAGGCGGCUUACUGGACUGCAACUGACGUUGAGGCUCGAAAGCGUGGGGAGCAAACAGGAUUAGAUACCCCAGUAGUC